UCUUAACCAUUUCAAAAGACUCUUCUACCACAUGCCAGUGAGGAAAAGGAGAAUUUCAUUGAUUUUAAUAAACAUUUAAAUCUAAUCAUGAAUAUGACUUUAACGAUCAUAUCUUUUAUCUUUUUAUCUCCUCUCUCAAUCAAGCUCGACUGAGCUUUCUUUCCCACCUCCAUAUCAAAAAAAAUUAUGCCUUCCAAUACCUUUCCCUUCUCUCCUUUCAUCAUGAGAACCAAAAACUCUCUUCAAAAUACACACAUCAGAUCCGCAUCUACCCUCAAAACGACAAAAGAUAACCACAAAUCUAACAGAUCGGAAAAAGAAUUAUGCAUUCUAACACAAAGAACCUUCUCCUAACCGAUCCACAAACAAGCCAAUGAAAUGGGGAAAUAAAUGAGCAAGUGUACGAUAUUGUUAAUAAAACAAGAAAUCAACAACAACAGAAAACAAUGAGUAAAGACUCGACCAAAGAUGAAAUUUCUGGCAAGAGUACCUUUGAAGAAAUUCGACUUCAAGGUUACAGCUCUGAGGUGGUUUUGAUGGAAUGGGAAGAAAAAGUAGGAUGUAAGACAGUACACUUGGAGGCGCGCUAGUCUUGGCCAUUAGAAUUAGGGACCUUUUUGCAGCAAAUUUUACUUAGUUAAAAUGUAACUAUUUAGUUUAAUUCUUUUUAAGGACAAAAAUGUGUAUUUGGACUUAUGUAACUUAUUGAAUUAAAAGGCUAAUAACCAUUAAUAGUUAUGUAUUCAA